rnacentral:rRNA from 1 species
GUAGGUGGCAAGCGUUGUCCGGGAAUUAUUGGGGCGUAAAGCGCGCGCAGGCGGUUCUUUAAGUCUGAUGUGAAAGCCCACGGGCUCAACCGUGGAGGGUCAUUGGAAACUGGAGAACUUGAGUACAGAAGAGGAAAGCGGAAUUCCACGUGUAGCGGUGAAAUGCGUAGAGAUGUGGAGGAACACCAGUGGCGAAGGCGGCUUUCUGGUCUGUAACUGACGCUGAGGCGCGAAAGCGUGGGGAGCAAACAGGAUUAGAUACCCUGGUAGUCCACGCCGUAAACGAUGAGUGCUAGGUGUUAGGGGGUUUCCGCCCCUUAGUGCUGCAGCUAACGCAUUAAGCACUCCGCCUGGGGAGUACGGCCGCAAAGGCUGA